CUCUUGCGUUCCUGUGUGAUGGGGCCGGAGCCAGUAAACAGGCUUCCUUCUCGCUCUGCUGUAUAAGAAGAAGAAGUAGGAGAAACAAAAUAAGGAGGAGAAGAAGUAAAAUAAUUUGAGAAGGAAUAUGAAGGUGAAACAUGAAGAUGAUGGUGGACAGGUGAGCUACGCAGUUCGUGGAAGAACCAGGGGUCACAUGGCCUAGAUGCUACCCUAGAUGAGAAAGAGUCCAAUGGUUAUCAACAAGUUCUGAAAGGCAAGGCCUAAGGUACUGAAAAUUAUAUUACUCAAAGCUGAAGGCAGCAAAUCUGUUCAUGUUUACACAGUUGGGAAAGUGGACUUGUGUUUUUUACAAGCAAACCAGUGACCAGCCAAUGGCAGGAGACCUUCCCCACCCCUAAAGGUGAUGCUCACCUACCGUCAUGGGUAAAAGGAAGCUCUGGCUCGAAUUCCUCAUGUAUUAUUCAUGUGUGAUGCCACCCAACGUGAUUCAGAGAAGAAAAUUCUCAGUGUGUUCACCAGAGGUGAUUACAUGAGAAUAAAGCACGGCCUGAUUUUUUUUCUUGUUCACAGGAAAAAAAAAAGAAAAGAAUGUAGAAUUUCUGAUGUGGGAUUGUUUCGACCUUGGAGAGUGUCCGUAUGAGACACAUGUGUGGUAUACAAAACACCUUUAAGAUUUAAUCAGAAUUGUAUAUCUUUCCAAAUUAAAUUGAUUGCUCCCUCAAACUCUUAUACAUCA
rnacentral:lncRNA from 1 species